rnacentral:lncRNA from 10 species
GUGGACUGGAAGGAGUAUUUGCUGAAGACCUGCCAGAGGGCAAAUUACCAAAUCAACAGUCUCCUUGGAUGAUAAAUCUCGAGCUCUUCAGCAGAACAGCAAACCAGCUGCUAUUCUCUGAGCUGCCUCAUGGAAGGGCCCAACUGGCAAGCAACUGAGACAAGCAAUCGUCAGAGAAGAAUGGAUGUACCCCAUCCAAAGUCCUGCAAUGAACUUGAAUGAUCCUGCAAUCUCAGAAUUGAAAGAAUCCUAUCAAAAACAAAGAACUUAUGAGCACAUACUGUACAGUAGAACUUGAGAUGACUGCAGCUCUUGUCUGCACCUUGAAGAUUUGCAAGAGUCCCUGAACUGGAAGACCGCACUAAGCUAUGCUCAGUUUCC